GAUUUCAGAGCACAAUAAAAGCAUUAGAAGAAAUGAAACAUUGCGCAGUAUAUUUCAGACAAACAAAUUGAUAUUUUAAAAAUAAAAUUAAAAGAAAUAUACCUUUGCCGUCUCCAACAGUCCAGUGGAAAAGUUCGCAAAGUAUAAUUAACCAACAGAAAUGAUGAACUGCAAAUACAAAUAUAGUCUAUGCCAAUAUCAGAAGUCAACUAUCUAUGUCUACAAUUUCAAUAUUGUAUUUACAGUUAACUGAAAAUUCAAAAACUGUAGUCUUAAUCAAAGGUCCAAAACUUGUUCUAGAAACUACCCUCUUUUUGUGACUUGUACAUACUGGCAAUUCACAAGAGAGCAAUUCAACAUCCAUGGUCCACUAUCCAAGGUAAAAAAGAAAAAUUUACCAAAUUCUUCUAGAUGAAGAAUAUGAAACGAGCAAAAGUAAGUUGAAUAUAAUUACCUUAGCUAUCCCAAUACCGAAUGUGAGAAAACUGGAUAAAACAUGGAAAAAAGCUAGAAAAAAUAUCAACAAUUGGAGUUGUUUGAAGCCCACUUUCGAAAUCGAAGAUAACUUAUCCUGUUCCACAAUUUCAAAAAUCAAUAAGAUGCUACUAAAAUUUGGAAUUGAUAAGUUAAUUAAUUAAUUCAUCAACCCUAAUUUACGUUCCAAGAACUCUUCCAUGCUACAUAAGUACCUGUUCUUCACAUUCGGAUUCCUCUUCUUCCUCACUCGUCAAGCUAUGGCAAGGAAGAAAAGAAUGAGCAACACCAUUGGGAAUACAUAUAUUUGCAAUUGGAUUUUCACAUACGGUCAGCAAUAAGGAGAUGAAGCCCAAAAGCUAUAAGUCUACAUGAUUGGGAAAUUCAAGGAUAAUAAGCAAUGUGAAUUUUUUAGCAUUACCAAGAAAAUUAACCAAUUAUAAAUUCAAUGGCAGGAAAAUGCAGGAUUCCUCAUAGGACUACUCAAAUCAUGUCUGUGCUCUAAUGUAAACUAAAUGAAAAGGAAGUUAAAAAAAAAAGAACUCAGAAAAUCAAAGCAAUCACUCGAAACGAACCCAAAAAAUAAAAAAAAGUUAAAUCCUACCAAAUCGAUUAAUGCAAAAAAUACACACACGAGAAACUCUAGAAAAUCGAAGCAAACACCCAAAACGAAACUUAACAAUUGUAUAAGCCCUACGAAAUCAGAAAUCCACCCAAAUUUAUCCCCUUGUUUCAACUGAACUAAUCUAAAAUCCCCAUUUGGAAGCUCAAUACUCAAAAGAAAAGAAAAAAAGAGAGAGAAGAUAUGGACUGGAUUCAGGAGAUUAUACCUUUCUUCUUCUUAUCAGUGUUUGGUUUCUUGUUGUGGAGAGACGAACUCGUCAAAAAGCGGACGUGUGAAAUGAGGGGGCAAAGAGAGAGCCACUUUUAUAUGAGAGAUAUUUUGUGAACAGUAACUAUUGCUAAACCAGUUCGAAAAAGUCAAGUGUGAAAAUGUGAAAUUUCCCCGUCCACAGAACAUUUG
rnacentral:lncRNA from 1 species